GACGAACGCUGGCGGCGUGCCUAAUACAUGCAAGUAGAACGCUGAAGCUUGGUGCUUGCACCGAGCGGAUGAGUUGCGAACGGGUGAGUAACGCGUAGGUAACCUGCCUGGUAGCGGGGGAUAACUAUUGGAAACGAUAGCUAAUACCGCAUAAAAUGGAUUAUCGCAUGAUAAUCGAUUGAAAGGUGCAAAUGCAUCACUACCAGAUGGACCUGCGUUGUAUUAGCUAGUUGGUGGGGUAACGGCUCACCAAGGCGACGAUACACAGCCGACCUGAGAGGGUGAUCGGCCACACUGGGACUGAGACACGGCCCAGACUCCUACGGGAGGCAGCAGUAGGGAAUCUUCGGCAAUGGACGGAAGUCUGACCGAGCAACGCCGCGUGAGUGAAGAAGGUUUUCGGAUCGUAAAGCUCUGUUGUAAGAGAAGAACGAGUGUGAGAGUGGAAAGUUCACACUGUGACGGUAUCUUACCAGAAAGGGACGGCUAACUACGUGCCAGCAGCCGCGGUAAUACGUAGGUCCCGAGCGUUGUCCGGAUUUAUUGGGCGUAAAGCGAGCGCAGGCGGUUAGAUAAGUCUGAAGUUAAAGGCUGUGGCUUAACCAUAGUACGCUUUGGAAACUGUUUAACUUGAGUGCAAGAGGGGAGAGUGGAAUUCCAUGUGUAGCGGUGAAAUGCGUAGAUAUAUGGAGGAACACCGGUGGCGAAAGCGGCUCUCUGGCUUGUAACUGACGCUGAGGCUCGAAAGCGUGGGGAGCAAACAGG
rnacentral:rRNA from 1 species